rnacentral:rRNA from 1 species
UCGGGAAUUUUGGGCAAUGGGCGAAAGCCUGACCCAGCCAUGCCGCGUGAGUGACGAAGGUCUUCGGAUUGUAAAGCUCUUUUGGCGGGGACGAUAAUGACGGUACCCGCAGAAUAAGCCCCGGCUAACUUCGUGCCAGCAGCCGCGGUAAUACGAAGGGGGCUAGCGUUGUUCGGAAUCACUGGGCGUAAAGCGCACGUAGGCGGAUUUGUUAGUCAGGGGUGAAAUCCCGGGGCUCAACCUCGGAAUUGCCUCUGAUACUGCAAAUCUCGAGUCCGAUAGAGGUGAGUGGAAUUCCUAGUGUAGAGGUGAAAUUCGUAGAUAUUAGGAAGAACACCAGUGGCGAAGGCGGCUCACUGGAUCGGUACUGACGCUGAGGUGCGAAAGCGUGGGGAGCAAACAGGAUUAGAUACCCUUGUAGUCCCUGAGCGGGCUGGCAAGGCGCAU